GAUUCGCUAGUAAUCGCGCAUCAGCCAUGGCGCGGUGAAUACGUUCCCGGGCCUUGUACACACCGCCCGUCAAGCCAUGGAAGCCGGGGAGUGCCUGAAGUGCGUGAGCGUAAGCAGCGCCCUAAGGUAAAACCGGUGACUGGGGCUAAGUCGUAACAAGGUAAC
rnacentral:rRNA from 1 species